rnacentral:misc_RNA from 1 species
AUGUUCUCUGGAAGAAGAUGAUGAUGAAAAAAGGGAAGAGAAGGGGGAGCAAAAAUUGCUUUAAUUACUUCGNGUCCAGUAAUGGGGGAAAAGAUACAAAUAUAUGGCUUCCUUUCUCCUACCCUGAAUGUAUGCAUAAUUACAAAGAGAACUUGGCGAGUUCUUGGGCAAAAAGUGCCAUCUUAGAGGCAUUCUGAAAAUUCUCCCCUACAUCUUCUCUUGGUCUUAGCUUUCUUUCAGCAAAGGACUUGGAUCUUUUCCCCCAUUACUGGACAUAAUGUCGGCGGACUCGUCAUUUGGUUUCCCCUUAAUUUUGUCACGCCAUCCAAGGCCAAAUUUUAAUAGACCCAUCCUUCUUCCGGGGCUUUCUGCUGUGGAGCUUUGACUGUGCCCUAAUCGUGGAGAAGACAGUGCUUUAGCUUGCCCAGAUUCAUAAUUUAUGGUAGCCUCCAACAUUGAUUCUGCCAUAACCACCCUUUGUUCCAUCUGAGAAAGUGAAGCCAUAGCCUUCUCAUAUUUUUCCUGAAGUAUAGUUGCUGCAUAUCUUUGAGCAGUUGCAUCUUGCUCAGCACUUACACGAGCUUCUUCAGUUAUCCUCUGUUCUUGCUCUACCCGCAUCAGAACCUGAAGCAUUGCAGCUUCCUGUUCUUUCUUAUCAGAAAGGGCUUGCCGCAGAUCAGCCACCUCUUGCUCCAAUAGCUCAAUCUUUGCACUCAAUUGCCGUCGAUUAUCUUCUUUUACCAUUUCCAUCAAUGCUGUCUCCAGUUCCUCAGAUCUGAGUAUGGAAGAUCUUUUCUCCUCCAGCAACCUGCACAAUUCAACCUUCAGCCAAACCACCUGUUCUUGAAGAUCAGGUAGUGAAUCUGCUUCAGUUACAACAUUUAGAUCACCAAGCAAAGCAUCCAGAUUAGAGGAGGGAUGCUCCAAGUUAGACUUGCCUC